rnacentral:rRNA from 1 species
GGGCACACGGGGGAUGCCUUGGCGUCAAGUGCCGAUGAAGGACGUGUAGCGCUGCGAAAAGCUGUGGGGAAUUGCGCUAGAGUGUCGAUCCACAGAUAUCCGAAUGGGGAAACCCGGCCUGAGGAAAGUCAGGUCAGCCACUGAUGAACACAUAGUCAGUGCGCGGGGAACUCGGGGAACUGAAACAUCUAAGUACCCGGAGGAGAAGAGAUUAUUCCGUAAGUAGUGGCGAGCGAAAGCGGAGAAGCCCAAACCAAGAUGGGGUAACCUGUUUUGGGGUUGUAGGACAGACAGUAGGGAUUAGCUUGUAGUGGAACGGUAUUGGGAAAGCCGACCGUAGGGGGUGAGAGUCCCGUACACGAAACGAGCGAAAUUCUGGUCUGUAUCCUGAGUACUACGGGGCACGCUAACCCUGUAGGAAGCUGGGGGGCCCACCCGUCCAAGGCUAAAUACACUUGACGACCGACAGUGAACCAGUACCGUGAGGG